AGGGGCCUACGGGGGGCAACAGUGGGGGAUAUUGCACAAUGGGGGCAACCCUUAUGCAGCGACGCCGCGUGGGUGAAGAAGCGCCUCGGCGCGUAAAGCCCUGUCAGCAGGGAAGAAAAUGACGGUACCUGAAGAAGAAGCCCCGGCUAACUACGUGCCAGCAGCCGCGGUAAUACGUAGGGGGCCAGCGUUAUCCGGAUUUACUUGGUGUAAAGGGGGCGCAGACGGCGAUGCAAGCCAGGAGUGAAAGCCCGGGGCCCAACCCCGGGACUGCUCUUGGAACUGCGUGGCUAGAAUGGAGGAGG
rnacentral:rRNA from 1 species